CCCCCCUGUCCAUGUUCAAGGAGUUUGUCUACCCUUGUCUUCCUGCAAGAUGUUUCUUGAUCAGCAAUCUCUACAGACGCUAAGGUGCAAGUCCACAUCCCCUUCUAGGGCAAAAGUCCAACCCCACCCUGUCCUGUCCCCAGUUAACACAAUCUUCACUUCCCUCCCUGGCUGCUAGAGACUAAAAGAGGAAACUGAGCUCAAUGGCCUGUGCUGUUAACAUCUCCUGGACCAAACAUUAGGAGCAGGAUUAGCCGGAGACAAGAGGGUGCUUGCAGACAACAGGUUUGUCGAUAUUGUCCCUGCAGCCAUGCGUUUCUUCUCCCCAUGUGGAAGAGAUGAGAUAGACCUGAGCUGGAGACAUCAAGCCUGUCCAAAGUCUGUGGUUUUUUUGUGACCCGUAAUAGAGACUGAAGCAACUGACAGCCACGUAAUCAGAACCACAGGUCUGACUCUAACCUUUCUCAAAUUCUGAAUCUGCUUUUUGUUCUUGCUCAUCUUUGCCUGAGAAGGGGCAAAUGCAAUGCCUAAUUGCAGCAAACAGAAUUAUCCCUGUGUUUGCUGACCCCUGUAUCCACAUUUGGCAUCUUUUGCUUUGGGGCUUGAGCCCAUUCCCCACCUCAGGUGUCUGCCUGACUUUUAAAUGGCUUCUGAAGAGGACCAGACCUUCAGGCUUUCAGAGGAAGUACUGCACAGCAAGUGAGAUCCUGGAAAUAGAGAAACAGUAGCAAUGGAUGAAAUGUAGAAACUUCUGUGAACUUAUUGGACCUUCUCAACAGGUUCAGGCUGAGUUUAGAGCUUGAGUCUGGGCUGAAUCUUGUUUGAUCAAAUCCAGCUCCCCUGUCCCCAUCUUCAGAAGAAACAAAGAUUGUCAUCAUCAGGGCAAGAAGCUGAUAAAAGAUUCUCCUGAAGAACAAAGCCUGAAGUUUGCUUGUUUGUGUUCAGAAAAGGAUCUUUGGGAAAAUGGGAGACUCCUUGGGAAGAAAUCUUCAAAUAAGCUGUGAGGAGAGCAAGGAGAGGAAGACUUGCUAAAAAUCACUUGAACAGCAAUGCUCUUCUCUCAGGGCUUGGUUUUCAGAGAAGCUGAGCUCUUGUGGCCUUCCUUGAUUUCAGAAGGAGCUGAGCUGCUAGUGGCUCUAAAAAUCAUGAUAUGCCCUUCAUAAAGAACCUCCUUUUCUAUAGAAGAGG
rnacentral:lncRNA from 1 species